UCGCUCUAUUGGACUUAUAUUGGCUUUUGAGUUGUAUCACUCGGAGGACUCAGUUUACAAGUUGGAAAAUUCACAGGAUUGGGCCGAGUUGCAUCACUCGCGGAGAAUAUAGGACUAAGUUUAUAAGUUUGGAAAUUAAUGCAGUUUUUAGCCGGCAUUUUAUUUUAUUUUAUUUCUUCCCCGUCUGUCUUUUACGUUUGUCUGAAACUGUGUUUGUGUCUCUGUAUUUCUCUGUGUGUGUGUAUCUGCGUGGCCGUGUGUGUGCGCGUGCGCGAGUUCGGGCUGGUUGUGUGUUUCAGCAGAGUGUUCGGUUGUUUGAAUAGCGCUGUGUGUGUGAAUUUGCAUUGAUUUGGCUGCGUUUUAUUGUGAAGUUAUUAUGGACACUGAGUUGCGACACGUGCUAUACGCUAUUUUAUGGUCGGGGUUCGUAGAACAGUUUUAACGGGGAAAGUAGAACGAUGGCGAAACGUGGUCUUUUAGUUUAAAAAUAAA